rnacentral:lncRNA from 1 species
GAAUCAACAUAAGGAGAUCUUGAAGUCCGAAUAUAGAAAGAAGUGUUGGAUGUAGCCCUUGUGAUUUAUUCAAGGCGAUCUAUAAAAAUACAGUUGGUCUAUUUAAGUCGAUUUAUAAAGAUAUGGUAGGUCUAACGGUUAGGAUGUAUUUGGACACGUUUUUGAUGGAUGGACGUGAUUUAACAUCCUUACAUUAUAUAAAUAUAUAAUAUACGGGAGUCCUGAUCUAACUCUAAUCCAAUUUUCUGUGAUGGCUUUAUCUCUGGAGAUAAGGGAAUUAGAUUCGAAAUGUCUCGUUUUCUUACAAAUCGCGAAUGAGGACAAACCACGAGCAAAAAUCGCGCUUACAAAUCGGGUACAGAAAUCGAAAUCGUGGUGUUCUAAUAAAGUUUCAACAAGAAGCUCCCUACAUAUACGGUGCUUCUAUUUCUGCUGCAGAUAAGAGUACAUAUAGCUCGGUUUAAAAGAUUUUAACAUGAAUAACAUUUCAUUAAACAGUAUUUAGUACAAGAACCUUGGUAAUUGAUCAGCAAGGUCUUAUCUCUUUUCUAGUCCCUUUAAUUUGUAUGGUGCAUGAUGGAGCAAUGUGAGGAGCCAAAGCAUUGAAAGCAACAUCCAACAACACUCAAUAAACACAGCAGUACUGCCUCUUAACUUUCCUGGCCAACAUCAAGCUAUUCAAUUAUUGUUUGCCGACAAUCAUGUCUCUAUUCUUACUUAUUUUCUGGCACAUUAAUUGUGACGUCCGAACUUUCCAGAGGGUCACCCAUUCCAGCGCUACUCCCAUCCUAGCACACUUAACUCUUUUAAUCUCUUGCGCCUAGUCACCACCCAAAAUGUUUAAGCUGGGUUAAAAGUUUUAACCCUAUUAUAUCUUAUAUAUAAGAUUACCUGGAGUUUUACAUUUUCUCCCCUUUAAACCUUGACGUCGUUAUCAGGCUCGGACUCACAAGUAUUAGGCGAUGUGAGAGUCGUCUCGCUAGUCUAAACCGAUCUUGUGGUGAGUUGCCCUCCACCAAUAACAGUCAACAGUAUGAUAGUCUCGCUCUCUACUCUGUAUAAUCUUAGCUCUGUCACGCCCCGGAUUACACUUUCCCCGGGCACGCCGACAAAUCCGCCGUAUACAAAGGAAUUUCCCCUGUAUACGAAGCGAUAGCUGUACCUGUAAAUCAAACACUACUACGAACAGUAGUAGGGAGCUGCUAGAGAAAACAGAAACUAAACCAGCUGAGUUUCAUAUACAUAGUCCAAAUCCAAAAUACAAAGCUACUCGCACUGGCGAGUUAGGUCCACUAUGUACAUAA